rnacentral:rRNA from 1 species
UACGUAGGUGGCAAGCGUUGUCCGGAUUUACUGGGCGUAAAGGAUGCGUAGGCGGACAUUUAAGUCAGAUGUGAAAUACCCGAGCUUAACUUGGGUGCUGCAUUUGAAACUGGGUGUCUAGAGUGCAGGAGAGGUAAGUGGAAUUCCUAGUGUAGCGGUGAAAUGCGUAGAGAUUAAGAAGAACACCAGUGGCGAAGGCGACUUACUGGACUGUAACUGACGCUGAGGCAUGAAAGCGUGGGGAGCAAACAGG